rnacentral:rRNA from 1 species
GACGAACGCUGGCGGCGUGCUUAACACAUGCAAGUCGAACGGAAAGGCCCUGCUUUUGUUGGUUGCUCGAGUGGCGAACGGGUGAGUAACACGUGAGUAUCCUGCCCUUGACUUUGUGAUAACUUCAGGAAACUGGGGCUCAUACCGGAUAUGAGCUCCUGCUGCAUGGUGUGGGUUGGAAAGUUUCGGCGGUUGGGGAUGGACUCGCGGCUUAUCAGCUUGUUGGUGGGGUAGUGGCUUACCAAGGCUUUGACGGGUAGCCGGCCUGAGAGGGUGACCGGCGACAUUGGGACUGAGAGACGGACCAGACUCCUACGGGAGGCAGCAGUGGGGAAUAUGGCAGAAUGGGCGGAAGCCUGAUGAAGCAACGCCGCGUGCGGGAUGACGGGCUUCGGGUUGUAAACCGCUUUCGCCUGUGACGAAGAGUGAGUGACGGUAAUGGGUAAAGAAGCAACGGCUAACUACGUG